AGCGAACGCUGGCGGCAGGCCUAACACAUGCAAGUCGAACGGAUCCUUCGGGAUUAGUGGCGGACGGGUGAGUAACACGUGGGAACGUGCCCUUUGGUUCGGAACAACUCAGGGAAACUUGAGCUAAUACCGGAUGUGCCCUUCGGGGGAAAGAUUUAUCGCCAUUGGAGCGGCCCGCGUCUGAUUAGCUAGUUGGUGAGGUAACGGCCCACCAAGGCGACGAUCAGUAGCUGGUCUGAGAGGAUGAUCAGCCACACUGGGACUGAGACACGGCCCAGACUCCUACGGGAGGCAGCAGUGGGGAAUCUUGCGCAAUGGGCGAAAGCCUGACGCAGCCAUGCCGCGUGAAUGAUGAAGGUCUUAGGAUUGUAAAAUUCUUUCAGCGGGGACGAUAAUGACGGUACCCGCAGAAGAAGCGCCGGCUAACUUCGU
rnacentral:rRNA from 1 species